rnacentral:lncRNA from 1 species
AAGGCUCUUCUGUGUCUUCCUGACCAGCUGCUCUGUUCCCAGCUUAGAGGACCAGAGGGAGAAGCCACCUGCUACACGCUGGAUGCUGCAGCCUGUGCCACUGUGGCUCACAUCGCUGUGGUUGGUGGCAGCAACGGAGACUGCAGCCAGCUGGAGUGGUAGGAGGAAGGAAAUAGUUUUGGGGUAGAUGGAGGAGUAAAGAGGGUGGUGAGUGCCAAAGGGAAAAGUGGAUGGCGGGGCGAGCAGAAGAAGGAGUUGCAAAAAGAUGGUGGGGAAAAGAUGGUGGAAAAAAGUGGGUAGAUGGAGGCGGAAAAACAGGGAGACAAACAGGAGGGGGAGAAGGUUUGCAAAGAUGGUGGGGAAAAACACUGUGGGAAGAAAAGAAAGGCAGUGGGGAAAAACAUUGUGGGUAGAUGGAGGGCAAGAAAGAGGGUGGCAAGUGGGAGGAGAAGAGAGGGUGCUGAGAGGGAGGGGGAAGAGAGGGUGGUGAGCAGGAGGGAGAGAAGGUUUUGCAAAAAGAUGAUAUGGAGAAAAGACAGUGGGGAGAAAAGUUUUUGGGUAGAUAGAGGGGGAAAA